rnacentral:rRNA from 1 species
UACGGAGGGAGCUAGCGUUGUUCGGAAUUACUGGGCGUAAAGCGCACGUAGGCGGCUAUUCAAGUCAGAGGUGAAAGCCCAGGGCUCAACCUUGGAACUGCCUUUGAAACUAGAUAGCUAGAAUCCUGGAGAGGCGAGUGGAAUUCCGAGUGUAGAGGUGAAAUUCGUAGAUAUUGGGAAGAACACCGGUGGCGAAGGCGGCUCACUGGCUCAUUUCUGACGCUCAGGCGCGACAGCGUGGGGAUCAAACAGG